UGUUUUUGACCCUCCCUGUGGUGCCUCCUUGGGGAGAGAGGGCCCAGCAGCGGAGCCCACGCGACAUGGGGCAAUCAGCGAACGCACCCAACUCCGAGGGAGAUGGCAAGACAGACCGGGGCCGUUGCUGUUACAAGAGGGAGGCCCUGUGACCUUGACAAGGACAGGCUGGGGCACAGACACACCACUGGCCUGGACACGGACCCUUUAUGGGAGCUGCACGUACACAGAGAGGGGGAAAAUGGCAACCUGGUACUGGCACCUGGUGACAGAUGUCAUAACCUGGGGGGAGGGGGCUCGCAAAAGCUGACCUUUCCCCAGGGGCUCAGCUGGAGGCAGGACACUGAGAGUGAAAGUGUGGGUGUGCUCACACAUGCGCCAACUGCGUCUCCUGGAGGAGGAUGCUCUCGGGCCCCUGUUGGUGCCUCCAUAGUCCCCGCUCCCUGGGGAUCGACGCUCUUUGAAGGUUAACCUACCCAGGUCAGCUAACCAGGCCCACGUGCGGAGGAGGUCAGGGCCAUCUAAGCUGUGACACGCGAGUCCUUCUGGGGCAAGGCUUACAGCACAGCACGAGACGUCCACAUGGCCCCAGGGCAGCUCCUGUGAUCCGUACAGCCCCAGCCCUGAGAAGGGGGGAGUCUGGCUCUGAGAAUCUUCUCCUGGCUCUGGGUACCUGGGGCAAAACGGGGGCCUCAGCCAUUUACCGUCUCGGGGGAGGGUCCAGUCUCCUGGUCCCUGAGGUCCCCAUCUUCCUCCACCUCCCCACCCAGACUCCACUCUGGUGAGAGACACAGGGAGAAGGCCAGGCUCCCCCUGAGGGAAGGAGGAGGGCAGGUGGGAAGACCUGGGGCUCUCACCGCCCCUCAAAUCUGGCUGCUCUGCCGUGUGUCUCUGGGGACCCGGGCCGAGGGCCGGCCUGGUGGAACCUGCUCAGCGAAGGCCCGGCCAGCUGUCUCAGUCGGCACUUCAGAAGCAAACAAUGUCUGUUCCAGGCUGACGUGGAGAGGGACCCUUCCGUCGGAUAUGAGGACUCCAAGCCCGGGCCAGGGCCUACUGCCCAGCGGCAGGUACCCUGGGAGCCUGGCUGGCGGAGGUCAGGGCCGGGUGUGGAGACCUAAAGGCCUCCCGGGCCUCGUGAGCCAAGCUGGGGCCUUUGUGGGGGUUCCGGGCUCCCGGGCAGAGACCUCUGCUCCACUGUGGGGUCUCACAGCCAGGAGCAGCUCCUGCCCUUUACAGGAGGAACCCCAGAUGAGGCUUCAGGAAGUAGAUAUGGAGGGAUCGGCUGAAAGGUCAGAGCCACCCACUGCUCUACUCAGCAGGGACAGGCCAGAGAGGCCCAGCCCCAUGCGGAGGGGAGCCCCACAGCUCCCCCCGGAAGGGGGCCUGGCCGGGUGCCAAGGCAUGGAAGUGAUGAACAUAAAUCCUGGCUAAUGGUCACCUCUAAGCUCUGGUCUGCUCCUGCAGGACAGCACAAACCUCCUGGGGGGCCCUCUUUUCCAGCUGUAGACCCUGCAUGGGGCCUCGGGGGUCCCCUUGCCAGUGGAGCCCGGGGUGGGCAUUAGAGCAAAUGCACUCUCCAGGUGGACCCCCGGACUGGAGAGACACCGCCCGUGCGGCCGAGCCGGGGGCGCCCCUGGAAACGGGAGUCGCGGAGGAGCCAAUGAGAAACCAAACACACAUAUCAAAAUCAAAUCAAAUGCAAACACAAACAAAACACGUGAAAGCAGCAGCAAGCUCUUUGUGUAAUAAAUAUUGCAAAGCGCACUUGGUUUCUUUUUUUUUUUUUCUUUUCAAGUCAAAUAUAACAACCAAUGUCCCAAACCCUGUUUUCAGCAUUGAAAAGAGAGAAGCUGUUGCUAUCAGCAGAACACCUGCAGCCAAUCAAAGAAAAAAAAAAAAAAAACAACACCGUUUCCCACUA